rnacentral:rRNA from 1 species
GACGAACGCUGGCGGCGCGCUUAACACAUGCAAGUCGAGCGAGAACCAGGGCUUCGGCCCUGGGGACAGCGGCGAACGGGUGAGUAACACGUGGGUAAUCUGCCCUCGGUUCUGGGAUAGCCCGGGGAAACCCGGAUUAAUACCGGAUAGCCUCUCGAGCCCUCGGGCUCGUGAGAAAAGGUAGCUUCGGCCUCCGACCGAGGAGGAGCCUGCGGCGGAUUAGCUUGUUGGCGGGGUAACGGCCCACCAAGGCGACGAUCCGUAGCUGGUCUGAGAGGACGCUCAGCCACACUGGGACUGAGACACGGCCCAGACUCCUACGGGAGGCAGCAGUGGGGAAUCUUGCGCAAUGGGCGAAAGCCUGACGCAGCGACGCCGCGUGAGGGAAGAAGGCCUCCGGGUUGUAAACCUCUUUCAGGAGGGACGAAGCCACUCGGGUGAAUAGCCCAGAGGGUGACGGUACCUCCAGAAGAAGCCCCGGCUAACUACGUGCCAGCCGCCGCGGUAAAAC